CUCUCAGGACGAACGCUGGCGGCGUGCCUAAUACAUGCAAGUCGAGCGGACGGAAGGGAGCUUGCUCCCUAAAGUCAGCGGCGGACGGGUGAGGAACACGUGGGCAAUCUGCCCAUCAGUCGGGAAUAACACUCGGAAACGGGUGCUAAUGCCGGAUAGGCAUCUUGGGGGCAUCCCUGGGAUGGGAAAGGCGCUAUGGCGCUGCUGAUGGAGGAGCCCGCGGCGCAUUAGCUGGUUGGCGGGGUAACGGCCCACCAAGGCGACGAUGCGUAGCCGACCUGAGAGGGUGACCGGCCACACUGGGACUGAGACACGGCCCAGACUCCUACGGGAGGCAGCAGUAGGGAAUCUUCCGCAAUGGGCGCAAGCCUGACGGAGCAACGCCGCGUGAGCGAAGAAGGCCUUCGGGUUGUAAAGCUCAGUCAAUCGGGAAGAGCGACCUAGGGAGGGAAUGCCCUAGGGGAGACGGUACCGAUGGAGGAAGCCCCGCAACACG
rnacentral:rRNA from 1 species